AACGAACGCUGGCGGCAUGCCUAACACAUGCAAGUCGAACGAGAUCUUCGGGUCUAGUGGCGCACGGGUGCGUAACGCGUGGGAAUCUGCCCUUUGGUUCGGAAUAACAGUUGGAAACGACUGCUAAUACCGGAUGAUGACGAAAGUCCAAAGAUUUAUCGCCAGAGGAUGAGCCCGCGUAGGAUUAGCUAGGUGGUGUGGUAAAGGCGCACCAAGGCGACGAUCCUUAGCUGGUCUGAGAGGAUGAUCAGCCGCACUGGGACUGAGACACGGCCCAGACUCCGACGGGAGGCAGCAGUGGGGAAUAUUGGACAAUGGGCGAAAGCCUGAUCCAGCAAUGCCGCGUGAGUGAUGAAGGCCGUAGGGUUGUAAAGCUCUGUUACCCGGGAUGAUAAUGACAGUACCGGGAGAAUAAGCUCCAGCUAACUCCGUGCCAGCCGCCGCAGUAA
rnacentral:rRNA from 1 species